UAAGAUAAGACUUAUCCAAAGUCAAACAUCAAAGCCCAGUGUCACAUCACAUACUAAAGAUGUUGGAGCUUUUGCCCAAUAUGAAGAACCGGCAAGGACAGAGGAAUACUUUUGGCUCAAUGCAUUUUACCAUUUUAUUAGUUGGUAUUCAGAUGUUGAUGGAUCGUGAAUUUUCAUGUCCAUGCAUUCCCGGAUUUAACGCAAUAUUGAUGAGUUUAAUUUUUUUUGCGCCUGUUGUUUUUGCUCUGACUGUGAUGAUGUUCUUCCAGAGGCCUUGCAAACAGAAAUCCAUCUGUUCUCUGACAUUGUCAAACGUUGUAGAUGUUGUUUUACCUCUUCUGGUUCCACCUUUACUAUGGAUGUUUUUUUUGCUGUUUGACGGCGAGUACAUUGCUUGUGGGAUGACACACUGGGAAGGAGAUUACCUCCUGGAUGAAGAGAUCCAGAUGAAAUGGUGUAAACCAACCAAACUAAACAGCACUGGAGCGAGAGGAUCGGACCUAAGAGAUCAGAUCGAACAAAUUGUGUACUACUCGCGACUCUCAGCUUUAGCGCUGCUCUUGGUCAUCUGCACUGCUGUCAUGGCCGCCAUUGUUUGUCGAGACUGCACCCAGCGAUCGAAUGAAGCAACGCAACUAUCAGAGAUUCACCGUGACUCAGAGGGGCAGAUGCAACACCAACCUGAUAACAUCUAAAAAUACAAUAGGGUCUGCAAGAAUUGAGAGUCAUACCUGUGAUUGUAAAAGCACAGGAUGUGUUGUCAACCGCAAUGUAGUUAACAGCAAAUGUUUCUUUAGGUGAAAGUACUAAAUGCAUUUAACAAGAUUAUCUGCAAUGUGUCUUAAAGGGACACUACACUUUAAAAAAAUAUGCUCACUUCCAGCUCCCCUAGAGUUAGACAUUUGAUUUUUACCGUUUUUGGAAUCCAUUCAGCUGAUAUCCGGGUCUGGCGGUACCACUUUUAGCAUAGCUUAGCAUAAUCCAUUGAAUCUGAUUAGACCAUUAGCAUCACGCUAAAAAAAUAACUGGAGAGUUUUGAUAUUUUUCUUAUUUAAAACUUGACUCUUCUGUAGUUACAUCGUGUACUAAGACCGACGAUUUUCUAGGCAGAUAUGGUUAGGAACUAUACUCUCAUUCUGGCGUAGUAAUCAAAGACUUUGCUGCCGUAACAUGGCUGCAGGAGGUGCAAUGAUAUUACGCAGCGCCUGAAAAUAGUCCCUUGAUUACUUUCAAUAGCAGGGGACUAUUUUCAGAUGCUGUGUAAUAUCAAAAAAGCUUUUCUAUUUUUCUUAAGAGAUGUUAAUGAUGUUAUUAUAAACAUACAUGUUAAAUUCCAACCAACACAAAUACCAUAAUAUUGUAUAAUAUAAAAAAAAACAAUGAUCUGGUUCACCGAAACCACAAGGUUGGUCUGUGAAGAGGAAGUAACUUUCUUUGAUAAGUGUGUGACACUGCACAGUGCUCCUCAAACGCUGACACACCUCCACAGCAGCAUUUUAACUCGCCAUAUCACAACAAGAAGAGAAAAUAUCAACCAAACAGGAAUCAAGGAUCUUGUAAGGGAAAGUACCACCUACAUAUUAACAGCUGAAAAGUGUGGACAAAUAUGUUGAAAUCAUAGACACAUCAUCACAACAAGACAAGAGCAAAUACAAAUAUCUGUCUUCAUCUGAACCAACAGGUUCACGUGCAUCUUGCUGGACAAGCAGAUUUUAGCAUAUUAGCUGUGUGGUAUAUCUGAAGAUGACUUUGUUAGAGAAAUUACAUAAAUUGAUCUCCACAAAUUUAAGUAUAUAUUCUUUUAUUCUGAGUUCUUUGUCAUUUGGAAUGGAGGCAUUGGUUGAAAUGAAGUUUUCCUGUCCAUGCAAUACCUUUUCAAAUCAAGCUCUUUUCUGGCUAGUACUGAUCACUCCUGCUUUAUUUGUCUUUCUUUUAAUGUUCCUGUUUUCAAGACCCUUUAAAGAUGAAUAUAAGUGCUGCUCUCUUAAUUGUAAAAAGACUUCAUCUGACACGUUGAACCCUGGCGAACCUCGGGAGCUACAUUCUCUCACUACGUCGACGUCUGACCCAACACAUGAAACAACAUCUGACCAAACUUCACCGUCUGAACAAACUCAUUUCAUAAUACCGUUUUUACAAUGCCUAGUUCCACCUGUUGUGUGGUUCUUCAUCGUGCUUUAUGAUGGUAACUAUUACGCUUGUAGUAAGACAGACUGGAGUGGAACAUAUGUUACAGAUGAUGAGCUGAAAAUUCAAUGGUGUAAACCCACAAACUCAAGUGAAAAAGAUCUUCAACUACGUGAUCACACUCAGACUUUACUCAUAAAGUCAAAGAAGUGUAGCUUCAUUCUGGCCAUCGCCUUCUGCCUUAUCACGCUUCUUAUUGUGGGUGCCUAUGACUUAUAUAAACGGAAAAAACGUGGUGAAACUUCAAGAAAAUAAAGUGACAAAUGUCUAAAAAUUAUCCUGUCGCUUAAUGUAAAAAGUAAAAGCUGCUUUACUUAAAAAUUACUUUAAAAUUAGAUUUAUAAACUUAGAUUUUAAAAUCUAGUGAAAAUUUUAAGGUAAACGAGUUUAAAAAUUACUCUGUAAGUCAAAAUGGUUAAAUAGUGAAAAACUUAAAAAUUGUAGGGGUUGCCAAUAAUUUUUUUUUUAUUUAACCAACUUUUACUUUUUUUGACCACAAUGUUUGCAGCACAAAUGUCAUGGAUUUGAUUGCAGGGAACAUGUGUACAUGAUAAAAAAUGUAUAGCUCAAUGUAUAGCACCAUAAGUCACUUUGUAUUCAAGUGUCUGGUGAAUGCAUAAAUAUAAAUCUCAUUAUUUUUAAAUGCAAUUUCUCUGUUCCUGAAUAUGUCAAAAUUGAUGCUCUUAAUUCACAAACAUAGCUUUGUUUAAAAACUUUCUCUGAGACUUAAGAUUUUUGUUCAUGCAUUAUGUAAUAACAGUGCUUAAUAAUGAAGUAUAUGUUGUUGUUUUAUGUAAACUAAAAAAAAAAUGCUUCAAAUGUCAUUGUGUAAAAUGUCAUUGUUUUUUUUUCUUUUUACCUAAAAAGUUCAUAUUUGUGACAGCUUUUGUGCCUUUCUUUUGUAAUAAGCUAGCAUAUUUGUGUUAAACUUCAGAAUUUUAAGAAUGCAAACCUUUA